rnacentral:rRNA from 1 species
UUGAACGCUGGCGGCAUGCCUUACACAUGCAAGUCGAACGGCAGCACGGGAGCAAUCCUGGUGGCGAGUGGCGAACGGGUGAGUAAUGUAUCGGAACGUACCUUACAGUGGGGGAUAACGUAGCGAAAGUUACGCUAAUACCGCAUAUUCUCUGAGGAGGAAAGCAGGGGACCUUAGGGCCUUGCGCUGUUAGAGCGGCCGAUAUCAGAUUAGCUAGUUGGUGGGGUAAAAGCUCACCAAGGCGACGAUCUGUAGCGGGUCUGAGAGGAUGAUCCGCCACACUGGAACUGAGACACGGUCCAGACUCCUACGGGAGGCAGCAGUGGGGAAUUUUGGACAAUGGGCGCAAGCCUGAUCCAGCCAGGCCGCGUGAGUGAAGAAGGCCUUCGGGUUGUAAAGCUCUUUCGGCCGGGAAGAAAUCGCAUUGGUUAAUACCUGGUGUGGAUGACGGUACCGGAAUAAGAAGCACCGGCUAACUACGU